GAUGAACGCUGGCGGCGUGCCUAAUACAUGCAAGUCGAGCGAACAGAUGAGGAGCUUGCUCCUCUGACGUUAGCGGCGGACAGGUGAGUAACACGUGGAUAACCUACCUAUAAGACUGGGAUAACUUCGGGAAACCGGAGCUAAUACCGGAUAAUAUAUUGAACCGCAUGGUUCAAUAGUGAAAGACGGUUUUGCUGUCACUUAUAGAUGGAUCCGCGCCGCAUUAGCUAGUUGGUAAGGUAACGGCUUACCAAGGCAACGAUGCGUAGCCGACCUGAGAGGGGGAUCGGCCACACUGGAACUGAGACACGGACCAGACUCCUACGGGAGGCAGCAGUAGGGAAUCUUCGGCAAUGGGGGAAAGCCUGACGGAGCAACGGCGAGUGAGUCAUGAAGGUCUUCGGAGCGUAAAACUCUGUUAUUAGGGAAGAACAAAUGUGUAAGUAACUAAGCACGUCUUGACGGUACCUAAUCAGAAAGCCACGGCUAACUACGUG
rnacentral:rRNA from 1 species